rnacentral:rRNA from 1 species
CCCCUAGUAACUGCGAGUGAAGCGGGAAAAGCUCAAAUUUAAAAUCUGGCGGUCUUUGGUCGUCCGAGUUGUAGUCUGGAGAAGUGCUUUCCGCGCUGGACCGUGUAUAAGUCUCUUGGAACAGAGCGUCAUAGAGGGUGAGAAUCCCGUCUUUGACACGGACUACCAGUGCUUUGUGAUGCGCUCUCAAAGAGUCGAGUUGUUUGGGAAUGCAGCUCAAAAUGGGUGGUGAAUUCCAUCUAAAGCUAAAUAUUGGCGAGAGACCGAUAGCGAACAAGUACCGUGAGGGAAAGAUGAAAAGCACUUUGGAAAGAGAGUUAAACAGUACGUGAAAUUGCUGAAAGGGAAACGCUUGAAGUCAGUCGCGUUGUCUGGGACUCAGCCUUGCUUUUGCUUGGUGCACUUUCCGGAUGACGGGCCAGCAUCGAUUUUGACCGUCGGAAAAGGGCUAGGGUAAUGUGGCACCUCCGGGUGUGUUAUAGACUUUAGUCGCAUACGGCGGUCGGGAUCGAGGAACGCAGCGCGCCGUAAGGCAGGGGUUCGCCCACUUUCGCGCUUAGGAUGCUGGCGUAAUGGCUUUAAACGACCCGUCUUGAAACACGGACCAAGGAGUCUAACAUACCUGCGAGUGUUUGGGUGGAAAACCCGAGCGCGUAAUGAAAGUGAAAGUUGAGACCUCUGUCGUGGAGGGCAUCGACGCCCGGACCUGACGUUCUCUGACGGAUCCGCGGUAGAGCAUGUAUGUUGGGACCCGAAAGAUGGUGAACUAUGCCUGAAUAGGGUGAAGCCAGAGGAAACUCUGGUGGAGGCUCGUAGCGAUUCUGACGUGCAAAUCGAUCGUCAAAUUUGGGUAUAGGGGCGAAAGACUAAUCGAA